rnacentral:rRNA from 1 species
CUACGGGAUGCACCAGUAAGGAAUAUUGCGCAAUGGAGGCAACUCUGACGCAGCCAUGCCGCGUGCAGGAAGAAGGCCUUAUGGGUCGUAAACUGCUUUUAUUUAGGAAUAAACCCCCGAACGUGUUCGGGGCUGAAGGUACUAAACGAAUAAGCACCGGCUAACUCCGUGCCAGCAGCCGCGGUAAUACGGAGGGUACAAGCGUUAUCCGGAUUUAUUGGGUUUAAAGGGUGCGCAGGCGGGCUAUUAAGUCAGUGGUGAAAUCCCGGGGCUCAACUCCGGAACUGCCAUUGAUACUGAUAGUCUUGAGUUUGGUUGAAGUGGGCGGAAUGUAGCAUGUAGCGGUGAAAUGCAUAGAUAUGCUACAGAACACCAAUCGCGAAGGCAGCUCACUAAGCCAAAACUGACGCUCAUGCACGAAAGCGUGGGGAUCAAACAGGAUUAGAUACCCGCGUAGUC